AUCAUCUGUUUGCUAAUAUGUGCAAGUGCUGCAAAAUAGUAUAUCUUGUAUUUAAAUGAAUGAAAAAGAGAAGGGCAAAAGGCUAAUUAAAAUCAGGAGGACUGCCAUGAGGCAACCUCAAGUAUCAUACACCUCUGUUUUUGUCUUUUUCAUUUUUCACUUGUUUCUCACAAGAAGUGAACUAGAGGGAAUAAAAAGUGCUGGAAGUAAUUUUUGUUGUAACUUCUUGUGUAACAUCUUUGGUUGGAACUUUUUGGUUGGCCAAAACCCCAUGGAUGCCAAUAAUUGGAGGCCCACUAUCCCAGGCGGAGAACCUGUCAUUGACAUGGGUUAUUGGAGAAUUCAAUUGCAGCCUGACUCACGGAAAAGAAUAAUCGACAAAAUCCAUAAUCCAGUUAAAGAAAAUUAACCAUGAAGCUCAUAACUAGAAUUUUAGACAGAAGGGUGGCCAAGUGAACUCAUAUACCCUGUACCUCUGCAAUAACACGGGGAAAGGAAGUAAAAAUAGAUAAUAGAGAUAUUAAGGAGGCAUCUUCAAUUUUCUGGUCAAGAGGGAUUACAAGAACUCAAGAAAAUUGCUGUACGGUUUGAGGAAAAGAUUUAUACUGCCUCCACCAAUCAGCAUCCCAUAGUAUGCCCCCUGAAGUUCAGAAUCAAGGGCUGUUUCUCCCUAUCCUAUUGUCCACUGAUCAGUCUCAAGCAUGUCAGCAGUUGGUAUCACAGAACAUGCAGAAUUGCAUGGCAUCUAAUGGAGUUCAAAGUUAUGCUGGUUUACAAGCAGCACUGCCUCCUGUCUCUGGUGUAACCCUGACUAUCCCCAACACUGUUGUCCAGAAUCCUAACAUGCCGAGUAUCCCUGGUGUUUCACAGAACUCAGUGGGGGAAUUCAAUGGGACAAGGGAUUCACUACACUAUGUUUGCCAAUUCUCAGAGACAAAUGCCAGCAUCCCUAGAUUAUACAGCACAGACUGGACAUGCAAAAGGCGCUGAUUGGCAAGAGGAGAUCUAUGAGAAGAUCAAAGUUAUAAAGGAGACUUAUUUCCCUGAAAUAAAUGAAAUGCACCAGAGAAUUGCUGCCAGGUUACAGCAGCUUGACUCUCUUCCGCAUCAACCGAAUUCAGAACAGCUUGAAAAGCUGGAGAUUUUCAAGACCAUGUUGGAGCGCUUGAUAACAUUCUUACAGGUCUCUAAAAACAACAUCACACCUAGUUUCAAGGAGAAAUUGGGUCCUAUGAGAAGCAGAUUGUAAGUUCUAUAAACCCAAGCAGAUUCAGGAGGCCAAUUCCUAAUCUACAGUUCCUCAAUUGCAGUGCCAUGAAAAUCAACUGAAUCUCCAGUAGCAAUCAUUGAAUGUGCAAGGUUCUGUACCAAUAAUGCAGCAGAACAAUAUGUCAAGCUUGCAGCAUGGUUCUUUUUCAUCUUUAUCUGGGGUUUCUAUGUCAUAACCAAUCAUGAUGAUGCGGGAUGAGGGAUAUUAAGAAAAGAAAAGGGGGGAGAGAGAAUGAUAUUGUAGCAAAAAUAUUUGAGCUUACUACAAAUCCAAGCCAAAAUAUUUGAGCUUGUCAUGUUGAAUCAUCUCUUCUAGAAUUGUCCUUUUCCUUGCCUGGGGCAUCAAACAUGACCUGACAUGUUGAGGAAACAGACGGGAGGUGUUUUUUUAAACACAAGGCAGAUUUUUAUGAGGGCAAAUCUUCAGCGUUUUGACAGGCAGAUUAAAUUUUCUUAAAAGGGGCUUUGGUUUGAUUCCUACAUGCUGCGGGCAAAUCUUCAGUGUUUCGACAGGCAGCCUCAUGAGCAAAAGAAAGACAAUCUGCGACCACUCCAAGCUUCUCGUUGCUCCCCUGUUCCGAUUAGAAACAGAGAUUCAAGAAGCUAUGCUACUGUCCUGAGACAAGAGUUCCAACAAAAUCUAUUUUUAGUUCCCAAGACACUCUUUUUCCAGAGAAUCAUUCCUCUGCUUUGCAUAAAGUGAUCCAUGAAUCUGUAGAAGAGGAAUCUGUAUGGUUAGGAUAUAGUCUUGUUGGGUCAAUUAAAGAGGGUGUGACUUAAUGUAGGCCCGGUUUCACUAUGUAAUAGGGACAUUGAAGAUAAAUCAGGAAGAGGAAAAGAAGCCUCAAUCGCUCUCAACAUGAGUGUUUGAAGUGGCUCGACUCAAAGAAACCAAAUUCAGUUGUUUAUAUUUGCUUUGGAAGCAUGGCAAACUUCACUGCCUCUCAGCUUAAGGAGGUUGCAGCAGGUCUUGAAGCUUCUGGGCAUCAGUUUAUCUGGUUAGUUAGAAGAAACAUAAAGAGUCAAGAAGACAAGGAAGAUUGUUUACCUGAAGGAUUUGAGGAAAGAAUGGAAGGCAAAGGGCUAAUUAUCAGACGAUGGGCACUCCAAGUUUUGAUUCUUGAUCAUGAAGCAAUAGGUGCAUUUGUGACUCAUUGAGGAUGGAACUCAACUCUUGAAGGCAUAAGGCCAAUAUUUGCUGAGCAAUUCUAUAAUGAAAAAUUGGUGACUGAUGUUUUAAAAACUGGAGUUGGUUUUGGAGAUCAUGUUGAAAGUGAAGCUGUAGAGAAGGCAAUCACUGAAAUUAUUUUCAGAGGAAAUGAGGAGCAGAACAAAGAAGGUGGAUCUUCUUGCUCCGAUUUAAAUGCUUUGAUUGAAUAACUGCGGUGGGGUCGCCAUUGAAACAGAGGCAAUGUAAGUGUUGAUCACAUGCAUAGAAUAUUUUGUUUCUGUUUAGUAGUGGUUUUGGCAAUUUAAUUUC